rnacentral:rRNA from 1 species
CAGGCCUAACACAUGCAAGUCGAGCGGAAACGGCAGUAUUGAAGCUUCGGUGGAUUUACUGGACGUCGAGCGGCGGACGGGUGAGUAACGGCUGGGAACCUGCCCUGACGAGGGGGAUAACCGUUGGAAACGACGGCUAAUACCGCAUAAUGUCUUGAUUCGUUAGAGUCAGGACCAAAGGUGGCCUCUACAUGUAAGCUAUCGCGUUGGGAUGGGCCCAGUUAGGAUUAGCUAGUUGGUAAGGUAAUGGCUUACCAAGGCAACGAUCCUUAGCUGGUUUGAGAGGAUGAUCAGCCACACUGGGACUGAGACACGGCCCAGACUCCUACGGGAGGCAGCAGUGGGGAAUAUUGCACAAUGGGGGAGACCCUGAUGCAGCCAUGCCGCGUGUGUGAAGAAGGCCUUCGGGUUGUAAAGCACUUUCAGCAGUGAGGAAGGUCGUGUACUUAAUACGUGCACGGCUUGACGUUAGCUGCAGAAGAAGCACCGGCUAACUCCGUGCCAGCAGCCGCGGUAAUACGGAGGGUGCGAGCGUUAAUCGGAAUUACUGGGCGUAAAGCGCAUGCAGGCGGUUUGUUAAGUCAGAUGUGAAAGCCCGGGGCUCAACCUCGGAACCGCAUUUGAAACUGGCAGGCUAGAGUCUUGUAGA